CGACAUCGUCGCCGCAGCAGAGGGAGAGGGUCGGGGAGGAGCUCGGGGAUUGGGCGCCGCCGGAGUGGGCACUGCUGCUCAUCGGCUGCCUCCUUGGGCUCGCCACCGGCAUUUGCGUCGCCGCGUUUAACCGUGGGGUACCCCCAACGAAGGUGCAGCUUGGCUCUGCCUUCAGAGGCUAGCUGAUACUUGGCACAGAAUACUGCUGAUCCCUGUGACAGGAGGCGUUGUUGUUGGAAUGAUGCAUGGGUUGCUUGAGAUAUUUGAUCAGCUGAAACUCGUGAAACCGCCUCAGAAGCAAGUGGCCUUCCUCCCGAUUCAAUCCACCCUAGUCCCUAAUCAAUCCUUGCUCUCCUUUUUUCAGAUUCUAUGUAUAUCUAUCCUCCCUGAUUCCUAUAUGUGAUUUAUUACUGAAACUUCAUUACUUGAGGUAUUUUUCAAUGCCUAUUCUUCUAUUUAGGCUUGUUUGCAAAUGGAUAACGGAUUGUGAUCA